AUGGAUUCCACCCCGCCGUACCGCCUCACCCCUCCGCACCGGCGGCCAACGCCGUCGCCAGCGCCGCCGACUUCGACUUCACCUUCCUCCCCGCCCCGUACUGGGGCUGGACCGUGCGGGAAGUCCGCGACGGCCGCGUCCUCCUCGACAGAGCCUGCCGUCACGACGAGCUCGGACCCCUCUUCAAGGAGAUGGUGGUGUGCGACCCCCUGCACCGGCGGUACCUCCUGCUCCCCCCCAAUCCCCGAUGACCUAGCCGCUCCGGUUGUGUGCCAAAUCCUGAUAGAAAGGGAUUGCUUCGCCGACUGCUUCCUCGUCCCUUCCGGCGACGAAGCUAUGGAGGAGACUUCAUUCAGAGUUUUCUGGCUGGUGCUGCUCCAAACUAAACGGGUGGUCCUUGUCUUCUCUUCCGACACCGGGCAAUGGCGAGCCAUUACAUCCCUGACUUGCAGCUUACCUGGCUUUGUCUUAUCUACAUUUACGAUUUUGUUCGUCUCGCGCCAUUACGCCCAUGGCCGCUUCUACUGGAUUUCAGGUUUGAGUGAAAAGUUGCUCGUGCUUGACAUCCGGAGGAUGGAGUUCUCCAUGCCUGACCACCCACCAUGUGUCAGAGUUUUGAGGGGUGAUGUAGCCAUCGUGGAGGCAGGCCAAGGCGUGACUGUGAUGUUUGUGCCUAAACCUGACACAUCUCGGCGUAUUUAUACUGUUUGGCGAAACAAUGAUUGGAGUUCCACCCAGUGGCAGAUGGAGACUGAGGCAUUUUCGCUGGAUUCCGGGUCCUUUAUGAUAGGUGCAGUGGAGGCACUUGCUCCUACAUUAUGGCAUGAUCUCAUCGGUCAAGACAGGCUGUUACACGCGGGAUGUCAACACACUCCAGCUUGA
rnacentral:rRNA from 1 species